AUAGUUUGAUCAUGGCUCAGGAUGAACGCUGGCGGCGUGCUUAACACAUGCAAGUCGAACGAAGUCUUUCGGGACUGAGUGGCGGACGGGUGAGUAACGCGUGAGGAUCUGGCCUUAGGAGGGGGACAACAGUUGGAAACGACUGCUAAUACCCCAUAUGCCGAGAGGUGAAAGGGUUAAAACUGCCUGAGGAUGAACUCGCGUCUGAUUAGCUAGUUGGUUGGGUAAUGGCUGACCAAGGCGACGAUCAGUAGCUGGUCUAAGAGGAUGAUCAGCCACACUGGGACUGAGACACGGCCCAGACUCCUACGGGAGGCAGCAGUGGGGAAUUUUCCGCAAUGGGCGAAAGCCUGACGGAGCAACGCCGCGUGAGGGAGGAAGGCCUUAGGGUUGUAAACCUCUUUUCUCUGGGAAGAAGAUCUGACGGUACCAGAGGAAUAAGCCUCGGCUAACUCCGUGCCAGCAGCCGCGGUAAGACGGAGGAGGCAAGCGUUAUCCGGAAUUAUUGGGCGUAAAGCGUCCGCAGGCGGUUUAUCAAGUCUGCUGUCAAAUACCACAGCUUAACUGUGGGCAGGCAGUGGAAACUGAUGAACUAGAGAGCGGUAGGGGUAGAGGGAAUUCCCGGUGUAGCGGUGAAAUGCGUAGAUAUCGGGAAGAACACCAGUGGCGAAGGCGCUCUACUGGGCCGUUACUGACGCUGAGGGACGAAAGCUAGGGGAGCGAAAGGGAUUAGAUACCCCUGUAGUCCUAGCUGUAAACGAUGGAUACUAGGUGUUGGGCGUAUCGACCCGUCCAGUACCGUAGCUAACGCGUUAAGUAUCCCGCCUGGGGAGUACGCACGCAAGUGUGAAACUCAAAGGAAUUGACGGGGGCCCGCACAAGCGGUGGAGGAUGUGGUUUAAUUCGAUGCAACGCGAAGAACCUUACCAAGGCUUGACAUCCUGCGAAUCCUUCAGAGAUGGAGGAGUGCCUUCGGGAGCGCAGAGACAGGUGGUGCGUGGCUGUCGUCAGCUCGUGUCGUGAGAUGUUGGGUUAAGUCCCGCAACGAGCGCAACCCUCGUUCUUAGUUGCCAGCAUUAAGUUGGGCACUCUGGGGAGGCUGCCGUGGACAACACGGAGGAAGGUGGGGACGACGUCAAGUCAUCAUGCCCCUUACGUCUUGGGCUACACACGUCCUACAAUGCUACAGACAGAGGGCAGCGAGCGCGCGAGUGCAAGCAAAUCCCAUAAACUGUGGCACAGUUCAGAUUGCAGGCUGCAACUCGCCUGCAUGAAAGCGGAAUCGCUAGUAAUCGCCGGUCAGCAUACGGCGGUGAAUACGUUCCCGGGCCUUGUACACACCGCCCGUCACACCAUGGGAGUUGGCCACGCCCGAAGUCGUUACUCUAACCUUAGGGAGGAGGGCGCCGAAGGCAGGGCUGAUGACUGGGGUGAAGUCGUAACAAGGUAGCCGUA
rnacentral:rRNA from 1 species